AAGCUAAGCGGCGCUGGUGAAGCGGCUCAUCAGGUCUAUCAGGAAACCUGAGAAUUGGAGUGAGAAUCCCAGUGUGGAAAAUCAGGAAAGAGGCUGGUAUGAGCGACAGAGAAGUCAUUCAGGAAAGAGGUUAUUGAAUUCAUUGGAGAAUGAAUGCUGUUCUGAAUUUGUUUACCUCAACAAAUAGCUUACACCUCCAAUCCUGUCUUGGCGUGCCCUGCUCAGAAGACACAAGACACACCAGGAGUGACGUGAGGAAACAGGCAGUAAAGAUAAGCCUUUGCGACUGGGUUACUCAGACCCUCCCUGACAAGGAGGAGCCCAUCUUGAGUGAAAAACCUGCUCCUGAUUACAAGGAUAUGUCGAUUGCAGGGAGGCAGAGGAAGAAAUACAACAGGAUGUCUAUCGAACACAACUUUGGAGUAAGACCUUGGGACCCAACUCCUGUUUGCUUCAUAUACAAGCUUUGAGACGUGAUGAGUUUGCCUCGAUUCUCUAAGCCUCAGUUUCCUCAUCUGUUGUUGUGAGGGAAAUAAUGCAUGGAAAGCUUUUAACACAAUGGCUGGCACACAGUGAAAGUGCAAGACGUUAACCAUUAUCAUGAGAGUUUUCAAUUGGAAUGAAUAGGAGACUUAAAUUUGCAUGAUUGUACUUUUACACUAAGCCAUUAAUGAUGCAUUCAUUUAGUUUUCUACUCCCAAAGAACAUAGAUUUGAUUAAUUAUAACAAGAAUUUAAAAAUAUUUCCAUUAUUCAGAAAUAACCUACAGAGUCUAAGCCUGUCCUUUCCUUCCUCCCUUUUUCCCAAUCUUUUUUUUUUUUUUUUUUUUUUGAAAGAAAUAGCAAUUAUGUAGUCAGAUUCACUGGCUCUUUCUUCUUCUCCCUGGUAACAGGCUAAGUCUUAACCUUGAUUAGGCAGCAUCGCAUCUGAUCUAAGUUCUUCCCAGCUUUCAGCCCAGCCUGCUUCCCCAGGCUUCAGAGCGCAGCUCUGCACCACCCUCUCCACCCCUGCUUAGCAUCAGAACAUUGCCAAAGCUAAGCAUCUAUGCAAUGUUUCUUUUGAAUAGUUGUCUACCUACUUGGAUAUUUUUUUCCUUCUCCCAGAGGCAAAAAUUGGACCACUUAAUCUAUGCUGUAGGACAGUCUUGCCCCUCAGAAAAUACUUGAGCAUAUUAAGUUGUUAUGAAAUGGAUCUGAGAAGCAGAGUUCUGAACCAUGCCCGUGAAUUUCCCAGCCUCAUCACACUGGCAUUCUUUCAUAGCCCCGAAAUACUUUCCACUUGCCCUUCCUAUGAAUGCAAGUAAAGCAAAGCCUCUUGACAAAGCAAAUUAAGAGUAAUCAAUGGUUUGGGUUUUUUUUUUAAUUAUUAUUUCCUGUGACUCAAAUCAAACCUAUUUCUCAACUGUAACGUACGAAAAGAGAGAGAUCAAGUUGACAUUUAGGAAAAUUGAACAUUGAUAAGUAAAUUGCCUUCACUCAGUCUCUUAGGUCCUCUCUCCUUUCCCCCUACCCCACGACACCCCGUGGCCCUGCUCUCUCUCACACACACAGCUGAAGGUAUCUUUAAAGGGUACCUAUUUCCUGCAGAUCACGCUUAUGUUAAUCUCACUUCAAGUACAGAUGCACCGAGGACAUUACAGGGUCAGUCAUUCUUAUCCACAAAGCUUUAGAUUCCACUACAUUAUUCAAACUGGACAAUGGACUUCCCCAUUUUGUGCCCAGACUUGCUCACUAAUAGAGUGACCUCCUUGUUAUGGGUGAGGAUAUAUUUGAUGCUAAAACUGCUACAAAUUUUUAUCAGCAUUUAAUCUUGAGACUGUGAAUUACUACAUCCUGCAUGUGUUGGUACCUUACUUUGAUUAAAAAUGGGAUAAAU
rnacentral:lncRNA from 1 species